GACGAACGCUGGCGGCGUGCCUAAUACAUGCAAGUCGAACGCAUUUUCUUUCACCGUAGCUUGCUACACCGAAAGAAAAUGAGUGGCGAACGGGUGAGUAACACGUGGGUAACCUGCCCAUCAGCGGGGGAUAACACUUGGAAACAGGUGCUAAUACCGCAUAAUUCCAUUUACCGCAUGGUAGAUGGGUGAAAGGCGCUUUUGCGUCACUGAUGGAUGGACCCGCGGUGCAUUAGCUAGUUGGUGGGGUAACGGCCUACCAAGGCUGCGAUACAUAGCCGACCUGAGAGGGUGAUCGGCCACACUGGGACUGAGACACGGCCCAGACUCCUACGGGAGGCAGCAGUAGGGAAUCUUCGGCAAUGGACGCAAGUCUGACCGAGCAACGCCGCGUGAGUGAAGAAGGUUUUCGGAUCGUAAAACUCUGUUGUUAGAGAAGAACAAGGAUGAGGGUGGAAAGUUCAUCCCUUGACGGUAUCUAACCAGAAAGCCACGGCUAACUACGUG
rnacentral:rRNA from 1 species